UUGCUGGAAAAUCAAGUAGCGGGUAUAUUGUUGUAGGAUUUGGCAGUUAAUAAUGCAAAAUAAAUGUGAUGGACUAAAGAUAAGAUUAGGUGAAUAAUAUGUUCAUUAAGUAGUGAUAAGUACUUUCUUUGUGAUGAAUAAGAAGAGGCUAUUAAAUGAUCAUGAAAGACAAUAAAAUAUAAGUAUUGAACAAGAAAAAAGGAGAAAAAACCUGAACACGGAGAAAGAGACAUCUUAAAAUAUGUUGAAACUAUCUCCUUGGAUCAUAUCAAGGGGGACUUUUCAUGUUAAUGUUGUUUUGCUUUGUUCAUGAGCCUUUAUUCCUCCUAGAUGUCUACCACCCUACAUAGCAACAGCUUACUUUACUACCAUCAGAUUUUACUAUUUUACUGUUUUUGUUUUUUGUUAUUAUUUUUAUAAGGGAACAUUAGAUUUUAGUCUGAAAUCACUUCAACAUUCCAAUUCUUGUUUUCCGCCCGAAAAUCAUGUUGGCUAUCUAAUUGAUAUGCAUUUUCGGAUGUUCAAAUAACUCGGUCUUAUUAUGUAUCUCUACAGAGACAGGGUGAAACUCUAUUGAAAAGAAAGGUUCAACUGUUCAAGCCUAGAGAAUUUGAAUGACAGAACAAACUGCUUGAAUUGCCGAGAUAAUUAGGAGAAUAAUUCCAACAAUGGAUGCAAACAUUUCAAACUGUUGUAAUAGUUAUGCCGAAAAGCAGUCCAAAAAAUAUCUGUAAAAAAAAAUAAAUAAAAAUCAACCAAGUCUCUGCAAAGAUGGUAGUAAUGGUCAGUAGUAGCAUUCACAUGGGCAAUAUUCUUCUAAACACCAUUCAAGAGCUUUGCAACAGAAUCAUCAUCCCUCGGAAGGUUCACAGCGCUUAUAAGGAAUCCCAGUUCAGCAACAUAUCCAGUGAAACUAGGACUCGUUCGGGUAAUGUCACUGCUCCAACAGCAUCAAGUUGCAAAACAAUAACUCAGUCCCAUCUUCUGCUACAAUCUGCAGGAUCCCGAGAAUCUUGCUGGAAGAUGUCAAGUCCAUUAAGCAUUACCACAUUUCCUCCAUGAUUGCUCCAAUAGGUUUCAACCAAAAAGCUCUAAGCAGAUCAGUGAAGUAGUUUACUUUUAUGAUGAUAUCAUUGUCACCAUUAUAGGGAAAACCAAAACUAUUGAAACACUUAAAAUAGCAACAAGAAAGUGGAAAAUCACACCUUAAAUAGUCUGUUGUUAAAAAGAAAGAGCGACUUUCUUUAAAUAUAACAUCAAGCAUCCCAUACUACCCGAUGUGAGACUUUGGACACCCCAUAAUACCCAACUCCCUAACAUAAUGGUGCCUCCAAAAGAGCUCAACAAUGAAACCAGAAUAAACUAGAAUCACCUUGACAAGCUCCUCCUGGGUGAGGUCAAGUGUGUUGAAGUAACAACAUCGAACAUGGGGUUUGACCUAUUCUAUGUGGUGAACCAAUGUCUAACCUGAAGUUGUCUCAGCUCAAUUCAAGAAUUAGUCGCAGUCGCUUCUGAUGCAUGUUUUGGAUCCUGGGGUUGCAGUGGUGGAAGGAACCAAAACAAUUUCCUCGGGGGGUUGAAGCAUCUCUGUUCAGCCUAUGGGUAAUCGGGUAUCAAAGGAAACCUAACAUAUGCAAGCAUUCACGAUGGCUGGAUCUUCCCUUUCUUUCAUCUCCUUAAUGUCAUGAUAAGUUAUAAUAUGUUGUGGUCAUGCUUCUCCUCUAAAUAAUGAUCAAUGUAGCACUGUAACCACUGAUACAGGUCACAGAUUAAAUUAGGAGAAAUAUUUAUAUGCUCCUCGAGCACAUUUUCCUCGUUAGAUAUUACCAUAUUACACCAUCUUUCUCUUUACUACAUUAAUUUCUAAUGCAUCUAAUUGUCCACUGCAAUAGACUAGUUUAUUACAAAAAUCAGUUCAUUGGUAUUUAGUCCAAAAUAAGUAACUGAAAUCAGCAGAAUAAUAGCUUUUUAUCAGUUACUUGACAUCUCCCAAAAAAUAAUUUGCUAAACAAUCUAUUUUACACAUCCAAGAUAACAACAAAUCCAAGUACAAGAAUUAAGGAAAACUAAAACAGCAAUCAUUCUUGAAAAAAAAAAAA